CAAAAGUUGACCUUCAGAACCAGUCAUGUUCUCUGUGUCUCUAGUGCUGCUCUUGGCAGCCACAUCCUGUGUCCACUCUGAUGAGCUGAUUCAGCCUGACUCUCAGACUGUUCGUCCAGGUCAGCAAAUGACCAUCAACUGCAAGCCCUCAUAUUCAGUUACUACCUAUGCUACAGCUUGGAUUCGACAACCAGCUGGAAAAGCUCUGGAGUAUAUUGGAUAUAUCAGCAGUGGUGGGAGCUCAUACUACAAAGAGUCUCUGAAAAACAAGUUCAGCAUCUCAAGAGACACCAGCAGUAAAACAAUAACAUUACAAGGGAUUAAUCUCCAGACUGAAGACACAGCUGUGUAUUACUGUGCCCGUUACACACAUUAUUUCCAUCUGGUAGAGGAGCUGAUCAGCGAGGAUGAAGUGUGGCUGCCGAUUCUCACCACCUGGGGCCUGCUGAUCAGGAAGUCUAAUAUUCAGCUGCAGAUUGAGGAUGCUAGACCGAGGUCAGCGAGCCUUGAGACAAGUUUUGAGGGAAUGAUUGUGUUGAAUGCCAAGCUGUAG